CAGUAGCCGCGGGAAAACGUAGGGUGCUAGCGUUGUUCGGAAUUACUGGGCGUAAAGCGCACGUAGGCGGCUUGGUAAGUUAGAGGUGAAAGCCUGGAGCUCAACUCCAGAAUUGCCUUUAAGACUGCCGAGCUAGCAGGUGAGAGAGGUAAGUGGAAUUCCGAGUGUAGAGGUGAAAUUCGUAGAUAUUCGGAAGAACACCAGUGGCGAAGGCGGCUUACUGGCUCAUACUGGACGCUGAGGUGCGAAAGCGUGGGGAGCAAACAGGAUUAGAUACCCCCGUAGUCCCUGUCUCUUAUAC
rnacentral:rRNA from 1 species